UCAGCGGCAGACGGGUGAGUAACACGUGGGAACGUACCCUUUGGUUCGGAAUAACGCUGGGAAACUAGCGCUAAUACCGGAUACGCCCUUUUGGGGAAAGGCUUGCUGCCGAAGGAUCGGCCCGCGUCUGAUUAGCUAGUUGGUGGGGUAAUGGCCUACCAAGGCGACGAUCAGUAGCUGGUCUGAGAGGAUGAUCAGCCACACUGGGACUGAGACACGGCCCAGACUCCUACGGGAGGCAGCAGUGGGGAAUAUUGGACAAUGGGCGCAAGCCUGAUCCAGCCAUGCCGCGUGAGUGAUGAAGGCCUUAGGGUUGUAAAGCUCUUUUGUCCGGGACGAUAAUGACGGUACCGGAAGAAUAAGCCCCGGCUAACUUCGUGCCAGCAGCCGCGGUAAUACGAAGGGGGCUAGCGUUGCUCGGAAUCACUGGGCGUAAAGGGCGCGUAGGCGGCCAUUCAAGUCGGGGGUGAAAGCCUGUGGCUCAACCACAGAAUUGCCUUCGAUACUGUUUGGCUUGAGUUUGGUAGAGGUUGGUGGAACUGCGAGUGUAGA
rnacentral:rRNA from 1 species